GCCACUAUAGCUCAGUUAGCAGAGCAACAGAUUCGUAACCUGUAGGUCGGGAGUGCAAUUCUCCCUAGUGGCUCCA
rnacentral:tRNA from 1 species